GACGUAGGGCGCAAGCGUUGUCCGGAUUUAUUGGGCGUAAAGCGCUCGUAGGCGGCCUGUCGCGUCGACCGUGAAAACCCGCAGCUCAACUGCGGGCUUGCGGUCGAUACGGGCAGGCUGGAGUUCGGUAGGGGAGACUGGAAUUCCUGGUGUAGCGGUGAAAUGCGCAGAUAUCAGGAGGAACACCGGUGGCGAAGGCGGGCCUCUGGGCCGAUACUGACGCUGAGGAGCGAAAGCGUGGGGAGCGAACAGG
rnacentral:rRNA from 1 species